UUUAUUCGUUAUGUCAUUAAAUAUAAAAUUCAGCACAUGCUCCUUGGUAGAGCGUACACAUCCACGGUGCACAGAGGCGUAUCUAGUACGGGACGAGCAGGGCACAUGCCCUGGGCGCCGUGGCAGCCCCAGCAGAGGGGGGCGCCACCAGCACCUGCACGCCCCGCUCGCCCCAUGCGUCAGGGUUUCGGCGGCGCCGGCAAAGGAAGCGAGCGGGUCCUCGGCGUGUACAGUCUCAGAGCACUGCUGAGGAUUGUACAUCCACCCAGAGGCAGGGGCAGAAUGGGGCAGGGUCUCUGGCAGAGCGGUGCAGUGCCGUGUAUCCGGAGCCGGGCAGCGCGCUUUGUGCUGGGCAGGGAGCUCCCCCUGCUCUCCGGGGUGAUGGUCGGUGGAAGUUCUCCAUUACAGCAGACACAUGUCCGGCCCCGGAUUGGCGCUGGCCGUGCACGCCCUGCCUGCUGCCACCACAGCAGCCAGGCUGGCUGACAGGGGCCGGUACCCAGCUGGCGGGAGACACCGGGGGCGGUGGGAGAGUCCCUGCAGCGUCUUCCCGGUGUACUGCAGGCUGCACACAGUGUGGCCUGGGCGGUUAGUGUGUGUGGACUGCGGAGGAGGGAUGAGGACAUUGAGCGCCGGCGCAGCCCCCUGAGUGCGGCCACUGAGAGAACGGCUCCUGCACCCUCAACAUGUGGGCCAUCAACAGCAGGCAUCUUCUGGAUGAUGUGAUCUCCUACAUGAAUAGAGAAUACCAACUGAAGAUGCCACCUGCUUUAGAGAAUACAGUUCUUCAGAAGUUCCAUAUUGUGAUCAACCAUCAUAUAGGCCGGUGAGGCAACGCUGAGCUUGGACUCGUUGCCUAGGCAACACCGGCGCCCAGCGAUGACGCAAUCAGGAUGAGCUCCCACGUGCACUCCAUUCACCAUGCCUCCCUGCUCCCAGGUCUGCAGCCAGCUAAAUUGCUGGACUACUUAAAGGCUUGUUACCCUCCUUUUCCAGAGCACGCCUUCAGGAUCCCUACAGAAAACUAUAUACAUUGAUCCUUGAAUACAAGGGCUGAGAACCUGAUUCAAAGGCUAAGCAGAGGAAGCCGGUACUGGGAAACAGUGCUAUUGCUGUCUAUUGAGGCACCCACUGGCUGCAGCUGUAAUCCGCCUUGGUGUACACAAAGUCGCACUUUCGAGCGGACAUCGGCCCCACCAUCGGACUUCUAAGCAACCCAAAGUUCAGCUUUUAUCUAUCAGUUUUCUAUUCUAGAAAAUUAUAUACACUUUUAAUUUUUAGAAGUUUUAGUAAAUCUACCCCCAAGUUUUUUUUUC